rnacentral:lncRNA from 1 species
UAGAAUUAUUCUACAGAUAUCUCCCAUAUGAGCGGGGGCAGAGCUGGGCAACCGUGACCAGCAGGAUAAUAGAGACACAUGGACAAUGGGCCUCUGAAGCAGGAGGCAGAUCCACAGUCAGAGAAGGUUAAACCACUUCAGUGUUGUCGGGCCUCUUUGAAUGAACAUGCGUAAGUGUUUGCUGUUGUGCAUGCAAAUUAAAGGGGACAACACCAAUUUGGAUUUGAUUUAUCACUUUUUCCCCCUCCGGUUCUCCUCUGUAUGAAUUUUCCAGCGUGGCGAAUGUGUUAAAUUUGUCCGAACCAGAUGACUAGAGCAAAUUGAUUUUGUUUUGUUUCUGUUAUUGUGAAACCCUGACCCCAUCAUUACUGCUCUGGAUGUUGCCACCUGAGGCUGCUUAAGCCACUCAGUAAAGGGGAGAUACAGAGAUAAAGUCUACACCUAAAUGCCUCGAGGGAUGAGACUUCGCGUCUGAUUUUAUCAGCUCUGAUCACUUAUCUUGUCCCAUCUCCACUCUCUCUAUCAGGCUUACAUUAACAUCCCAGUGAAUCCUAUUUUUACAUCUCUCAGAUGUUCUGCUUUUACACUUUCAGAGCCCAUUUCUGGGAAUCCUUAGAUGAAUGCAUUUCAAAUACAAUUUCAUGGAAAGAGCACAAUUACUUCAGCAGAAUCGACAGUAAUCGAAGAUGAAUAGACAUGCCAUCAGCUGCAAUACCGAGGUGUAAUAAGACAUAAUGAGAUGUGCAUAUGAAAUACAUGGUCUGUUCAUGUGAAUAAAGACAGGCCUUUUGGAUAUCAUAAGAAUCUAGUACACUGAGAAAUUAAAUGAGAUUAGACAGAACUUUACUGAUCCUUUUGGGAAGGUUCAAUAAUGUUGAUAUACAUUUCCCAUGACUUUUUUUUCUAUGCAAAUGUGCAAAAAAAAAAGGUUAAUAUUGUUGUAAUCCUGGGCCAGUGGUUAAUGGUAAUAAUGUGGAAAAAAAGACAGCCCUGAAAUAAGAAGUUCAUGCUUUAACUUGGAAACACUACUUACAACAAUAUGCUCUCUAAAACAUGCUGUAUGUGUGACAUUAUGACAUUCAAAUGAACAAUGUUAGCAUUUUAAUUUCCUGCUAGUACUAGUAGCGUGUGAGAGCAACAAUAUCGACAUCAUAAAGGGAAAAAAAAUCGCAGGUAACUGUUGGAUAUAUCCAAGCGCUAGCAGCUAACCUGCCAGGUUAGGGCUGGGCGAUUAUUUGAUUGUGAUUGAUGAUCGUGAUAAAUUUCAGUUCGAUCACGGUGAUCAGUCGUGAGCAUAUUUACUCGAUCAAACAUAGCGAAAAAGUGCGUCACAAUAGCCAAUCAGAGUCAAGCUUUUCCUGCUCACUUCUGUAAGUUACCAAGUAAAUAUGGGAAGUAAACACAAUGACCAAACGUGGCGCUGAGGGCAGCAAAAUAAAUGUCAGCCGUGACUUUGAGUCAUCCUCCGAAGAUGUUAUUGUUGAGAAGUUAUUCAACGUCGGUUGUGUGGUGGUGGUUUGAGUAUCACCAAAGUGACGUCGUGUAAUUAUGCCGAUGUGUAAGGUAUGUCGGCGGGUGGUGCCCUCAAAAACCAGCAACAAAACAGAUCUGUGUAAUCAUUUGAAGAAGUACUUCCUGAGUGAUUCUGCGGAAAGCAUGAAAAUGCUAGCGGAGUCUGCACAGCCUGCAACUGCUGAUGGCGCGAGUAGCAUUAGCAGUUUAGCCACAACUAGCGGUGCAGUCACCAGACCAAAGCAAUCAAUUGUAUCAUCUACGUUUACAUCAUCUAAUGUUUACAUUUUAAGGCAUCUUCAUUAUCUCUGAGGUGAAAAAUUGUUUAUUUUGGGUCUUGCAUACCUGCAAAAACACUCUGGACUAUAAACUAAUUUACUGUAUUAUUUAGUAUUUAUCUGCAUUUGUUGUAUUGUGGAGUUGAAAUGUUUUUAUAUUUUUCUAAGUGUAUCUUAUUCUUUGCUAUUUACUGUCAAUGUUAAUAAAAUGUUGAACUAAUCUCUAGUUUCUUUAGUUUUUAGGACAGAUGCUUCAAGACUGGCAAUUAAAAAAAAAUUGUGAUAAUAAUCGAGAUCCGACGAUACGAAAAAAUAUAUCGUGAUCAUUUUUUUUUUGCCAAAUCGCCCAGGCCUAUGCCAGGUAUUUGCCUAAAGAGUUAGGAAGGACAAAACAAAGCUUACUGAGCUUAAAAAGCAAACUAGCUAGGUGCCGAAUCUAAGAAUAAGUGGCUAAAGAGCAAGUCUUUGAAGCUAGUGGAGGCCAUAGACAGGGCAAACAUUUCUCAUAGCUAAAGGGAGAGAUAUUCCUCCAAAUUUGAUAGCAAAAGAUAACAUUUUUACAGCUAGUACAGAGGAAACUAGUUAAAAUGUGAGCCCUAGCAUCCAAAAAGCUAUUACUUAUAUAUGAAUGAGUCCAAAGACAGGGCUAAAAUAGCUAAAAUACUUGGUUGGCCACUUAAUUUAACUGAGAAUCAACAGCAAAAGAGCUUGCAAUUUACUUCAAAGUUGACAAAGGCAGAAGACAAAGACAAAAAGACCCAAGCAUUAGGGUCUCAGAGGGUACGAUGGAUACCAAAGGAAGAGGUGAGAAAGGGCCAAAAAUACUGUAUUAGCUGGUAAACAUGAGUAUCAGAGAGUUUGGUGUUUUCCUCGAGAGUUGGGGCCAGAAAAGCUCAAAUGUGAAGUUACAUUCCCCAGGUGGCCAGUAAUAUAAUCUAAGAUCAAUAAAAAUGUUCAAUAAAAACUGCUGGAUAUAUAAGCUUUCAGUAUCAACUUGAAAGCUACAGAUGUAACAGUGUUAUGUUCAGAACUAAAGGCUAAAAAAAGGCCUACUGCAGCUUUAACUGAGAGUUAUAACCUCGAUAUUGACAUUUAUCUUUAAAAAGCAGGACUGAUUUUAAAUACAUAAUACUGACAACUGAAACAUUUGCCAUUUAAAUCUAUCACAUCUCUUGUGGAAACUGAUCCACGUAACCAAAACAAAAAAGACCCCAAUGAUCUGCGUCUGCAGUGUUUACAUAAGCUGGUGAUUUGGUCAUCAUUAUGGGCGCAGGGUUCUCCAACACUGAGAGCUUUGUUUGAAAUGAAGGCAGCGACUCUGGCGUCUGUGAGAGCUGAAAGACGAGUGAUGUUAGAAUCAGAGCCUGUUAGUGGCUGCAGAAGACUGUCAGCAUGGUGGAGCAGCAGAUGGAGCAGCGGAGGAUAAUGAAAAGACCGAAUGACUCUAUGCCGCUUCCAAACAGACGGAGUUAGUCGGCUACAGAGAGGACCUUGAGUUUACCGACCACAAAGACUUUCCUGCUGGCACUGCUUAUAGGUGGUGUUAAGUUUACUGUCCAUUAUUUCUGACGGCGUUUGAAGCUCUCCAGCUCCUCAGCUGUCUCGCUGGUGAUUUAAGUCGAGUUGUUUGAGGGUCAGGACAUCUUCGGGGAGCUAAAAAGUAGUCCUUUAUAGUUUUGGAAAUCUUCAGGCACAGAUACAGAAGCUGCCUGCAAACUGCUUUAGAAGAUGAAACAGAAAUAAAGCUGUUAAUAGGCCACAUUAGGCUUAUUCUGUUGCUGAUACUGCAUCUCCUAGAGAGACUAAAAAUGAUAUACAGAGAUGAUACCCCACAGCACUUACAUGUAUUAUUACAGGUUUUAGUGCUGGAAUAUGUAUUUACUGAUUUUGUGUAUUGCAUUUAUGUAUAUCAUUGCUGUGCAGGUAAAGAAAACCAUGUAUUCCCGGUUUAUCUGAGCUACAAAAGCCCACACAGAUCUGAAACCUGCAACUGUGCACAACUGAGAUUAGGAUUUAUUUUAAUGGCUAUUACUUUACAGCAUUCUUGACCCUCUGACUUUGUGUGCAUUCAGAUGCUGAAAUUUUAUAAUUAUAGUGUGACAAAUUUGUAUGCUGUUAUCAUGAAAAAUAUCUUGCACGACUGUGUUGGAAUAAUCAAAGCUCCUGUGAGAAACUUAGAGUUUGUGUCAGUUUUGGCGCCCCCUGUGGACACAUCGCUCUUUUCUUAUUUUGUCCUCUGUUUGCUUGAGAAGUUUCCUUAAAGAAUCCUUCUGACUUUUGAGAGUUAUGGUCCUUUCACACUGGGAGUGUUUUUCUCGUGCGAUUAUUUUGGACGUCAAUAUUUUUGGUGUGUAAGGACCUUUACAUGUAUCAUUUUUGGGAAUACUCAAUGUUGGAAAUGUAAAAACAUGACAUGUGUAAGGAUAUUUAAGAUACUAAAGCAACUCAGUCCUAAUGAAACAGAUUUGUGUGGAGACAGAAAUGGUAAAUUUAUCAUUUUCAGAGCUAUGAGUGUAUAUGCGCUUUGCUUGGUGUGUCUAUGUGCUGGUGCACAUCUCCAUGUCGGCUCUGCUUAAGUCAGUGCCACACUAUGCUUGCCCCAUUAAAAAAGUCUAGACAUGCCACUGGCGGUAAACUCUUGUUAUCCUACAAAUCAAAAGCAUAAUCAUAUCAUUGCACAGUGUCCAACUGAUGUUUUGAAUAUUUUUCCCCUCUGUAUCUCUCCCUCACUUAUUCUCUGGCUUUGUUUUGUUCACAUAAAUCAGUUAUCCUCAGGGUAAGCCCGGGAAUUGCAAUUAUUGUAUAUCAAAAUCAUCCAAAUCCAGUGCACGUAGCCGAUCUGAUCCUAUGCCCACAAAGCCACCAAAGAACACUGGUAGUUUCUACUGGCUCUGGCGCUCAUUAAUCAGCCACUGCAUCUGUGCAGCUACAAAAAAAGUUGAAUUUUAAACAGAUCUUUAACGUACACUUAGAUCAAGUCAUCAAUCACAGCCUCAUACAGGGCUGCGGGAUAGAGGACAUGCCUAAUGGUGAUAUCUUACUGUGGCCAUUACCUGAAAAGGUUUUUAUUAUUUUACUGUAGGUUUUCAGCAUGAUGGAUGGACAAGGUGUACAGUCAUUUGCUGGAUCUGACCUGAGUACAGCUGGCAUCCUGGUCUUUGAUCUGAAGCGGGCACAGGACAUUGUCAAAGACUUAAAGUUGCUUUGAUGGAUGAGGGAACUUUUUCUGCUUUGUUUCCGGGCCCAUUAAUGGCUUUCUCCAUCUGUCCUCCUGUCUUGAAACAAGGCUGGAGGUCAGAAGAGAAAUGCUGCUUGGCAAUGUAAUAGAUGGGUAAGACGACAGACUUUGAAAGUAGAGAGAUU